GGGGAUAUAGCUCAGUGGUAGAGUGUGUGCUUAGCAUGCACAAGGUCCUGGGUUCAAUCCCCAGCACCUCCA
rnacentral:tRNA from 1 species